AUUCCAGCUCCAAUAGCGUAUAUUUAAGUUGUUGCGGUUAAAAAGCUCGUAGUUGGAUUUCGGGCGUGGAGGUUCGGUCCGCCGUUUCGGUGUGCACUGUCUUUCUGCGUCUUUCUGUCGGGGACGCGCUUCUGGCCUUAAUUGGCUGGGACGUGGAUUCGACGAGGUUACUUUGAAAAAAUUAGAGUGUUCAAAGCAAGCUAAAGCUCUGAAUACAUUAGCAUGGAAUAACGCGGGAGGACUCGGUCCUUAUUUUGUUGGUCUUCAAGGAUGGAGUAAUGAUUAAGAGGGACAGUUGGGGGCAUUCGUAUUUCAUUGCUAGAGGUGAAAUUCUUGGAUUUAUGAAAGACGAACUUCUGCGAAAGCAUUUGCCAAGGAUGUUUUCAUUG
rnacentral:rRNA from 1 species